rnacentral:rRNA from 1 species
UGAGGAAUAUUGGUCAAUGGGCGCAAGCCUGAACCAGCCAUCCCGCGUGAAGGAAGAAUGCGCUAUGCGUUGUAAACUUCUUUUCCAGGGGAAUAAAAUUUCGUACGUGUACGGGACUGAAGGUACCUUGGGAAUAAGCAUCGGCUAACUCCGUGCAAGCAGCCGCGGUAAUACGGAGGAUGCGAGCGUUAUCCGGAUUUAUUGGGUUUAAAGGGUGCGUAGGCGGAAAAAUAAGUCAGUGGUGAAAACCUUCAGCUUAACUGGAGACUUGCCAUUGAUACGGUGAGUCUUGAGUAUAGUUGAGGUAGGCGGAAGGUGUAAUGUAGCGGUGAAAUGCGUAGAUAUUACACAGAACACCAAUUGCGAAGGCAGCUUACUGAGCCAUAACUGACGCUGAUGCACGAAAGCGUGGGGAGCGAACA